rnacentral:lncRNA from 1 species
CUCAGUGAGAUAAGAUUCCAUCUGAAAUUGGAUAUAUAUCAGAUCUCAUCCAAUCUCCUCAUUGCACCAUCAUAUAUCCUCCAACUGACCGUUCUGAUGCCUUUGAUCACAUAGCUCGAUCCAUUCAGUAGAUGAACGGUGCCCUCACUACUCUACAAGGAGUCAAACAGCUCCUCUCUACAACAUACAUAUUGGAUGCAUACAGAAUCUAAAAUUUACUAUUGGAAAGAAGUAGAUACCUCAUCAGAUAUCACUAAAAUAUCAUUCUCUGAUUC